rnacentral:rRNA from 1 species
AUGGGAACGCGAAGAACCUUACCUACUCUUGACAUCCAGAGAACUUAGCAGAGAUGCUUUGGUGCCUUCGGGAACUCUGAGACAGGUGCUGCAUGGCUGUCGUCAGCUCGUGUUGUGAAAUGUUGGGUUAAGUCCCGCAACGAGCGCAACCCUUAUCCUUUGUUGCCAGCGGUUAGGCCGGGAACUCAAAGGAGACUGCCAGUGAUAAACUGGAGGAAGGUGGGGAUGACGUCAAGUCAUCAUGGCCCUUACGAGUAGGGCUACACACGUGCUACAAUGGCGCAUACAAAGAGAAGCGACCUCGCGAGAGCAAGCGGACCUCAUAAAGUGCGUCGUAGUCCGGAUUGGAGUCUGCAACUCGACUCCAUGAAGUCGGAAUCGCUAGUAAUCGUAGAUCAGAAUGCUACGGUGAAUACGUUCCCGGGUCUUGUACACACCG